rnacentral:lncRNA from 10 species
CCAGUGCAUUGAAUGCUACAGAAGAUAUAUUUUCAGGAAGCAUGGACAAGGCCCUACAUCAGACCUGGGUGCUCAGAACACUUUGCUGAAGGAGCAGGCAAUUUCUGGGGACAGGUGAUCCAGAAAACAGGCGGAGUAUGGGAAAUUCUUUGCAUCACAUGAAACCACCAAUCAUUUCUGACCGUGUCUCAACAUUCUAAACACCUCUUGCCAGUCAAGUUGCGUGUGGUCAUUGGACGGUUCAGGGCUAAGGAAAUGAAUAGGAAAUAAUCACUUAUACCCUAUGAGUUCCACUCCCCAGACGGAGCUACAACACGGACCUAUGACUGAUUCUUCAUCAUCCUUACUCCCCACAUUAGAAUGGUGUGUGACACUCUCUUUCCACAGUGUCUGC